rnacentral:lncRNA from 1 species
UUCUGGAGGUCAGUAAGUCCAAUAUCAAGGUGCCAGCAUCAGGCAUUAUGGCCAGCACACUUCCUGCGAAUUUGUACCACCACCCCUUAUCUCAUCUAUGCUUCUGCUCACAGCACUGCACUGGAGCCAGGGGAUGGAUACCUGGCACUUGUAUGUCCUAUGAAGAAAGAGAGGAGGAUACAUUGCUUCCCUAUGUAUCCUUAAGGGAUAGACCAGAGGAAAAGUUAAGUAAUAGAUAAACAAUCAAUAAUACCUAAUUGGUUUCCCAAUCAAUUAGCACUUACUGUGUUGGAUUUGUUCACUUUCAGCCAUAGUUACACCUUGAAUUUCUGUAUUUCCAAAGUGGGCUCUUUUUUUUCUAAGGAAUUUCCUCAAUUUUUUCGUGUAAGUAGGCUUCUGAGGAGUCUAUUUCACUGAUUUUUGUGAUAUAUUUAAUCAUUCCAGGGCUACAAAAUUUAAGCUGAAUUUAAAUUAUUCAUAAUAUAACAAUCUCUCUUCCUCUGUCUCUCUUUCUUUCUAUAUCUUUCAUUACAUAUAUGUAAUAAAAUAUUUUCAUUAUA